rnacentral:lncRNA from 1 species
GUUUGUUCAUUGUCAACAAAUAGAGCCAACCCUUGGAAGGGGUGUGGUUCUGUUCUAGAUUCCUGCACAUCCAGGAAUUCGUAAAGGAGCAGGGCAAAGACGAGGGUGUAGCAUUGGCAAGCAACGAGGAGAUCAGACUGGCUGCCUCAAAGUGUUUAUGGGAGAGUGGGUACAGUGGGAGAAGAGAAUGCAAACUUUGGACUUUCGAGAGUGACCUCUCAGCUGCCACCUGGGAGGAGCUGGAGGACAAAGGACUUCACAGAAGAAUGGAGUCCCAAAGAAACAGCUUCAGGAACUGAGGAGAGCCAGAAAUUUAAUGUAUUUAGGGCUCCCUUGUGAAAACACAAAAACAAAAAUAAAAAUGCCUCCCGCUGCCUCGACAUCUCU